UGAGGAAUAUUGGUCAAUGGGCGCAAGCCUGAACCAGCCAUCCCGCGUGCAGGAUGACGGCCCUAUGGGUUGUAAACUGCUUUUGUACAGGAAGAAAAAUCCCUACGUGUAGGGACCUGCCGGUACUGUACGAAUAAGCAUCGGCUAACUCCGUGCCAGCAGCCGCGGUAAUACGGAGGAUGCAAGCGUUAUCCGGAUUCAUUGGGUUUAAAGGGUGCGUAGGCGGCUUUUUAAGUCAGUGGUGAAAUCUCUUCGCUUAACGAAGAAAUUGCCAUUGAUACUGUAGGGCUUGAGUAUAGUUGCCGUUGGCGGAAUAUGACAUGUAGUGGUGAAAUACAUAGAGAUGUCAUAGAACACCGAUUGCGAAGGCAGCUUACUAUGGUUUUAUUGACGCUGAGGCACGAAAGCGUGGGGAUCAAACA
rnacentral:rRNA from 1 species